rnacentral:rRNA from 1 species
AAUCUUGUAAAUGUGUGUCGUGAUAGGGAUAGAUUAUUGCAAUUAUUAAUCUUGAACGAGGAAUUCCUAGUAAAUGCGGGUCAUCAGCUCGCGUUGAUUACGUCCCUGCCCUUUGUACACACCGCCCGUCGCACCUACCGAUUGAAUGAUUCGGUGAAACUUUCGGACCGCGGUGGAGAUACCUCUGGUAACUCCGUCAUGGGAAGUUAUUUAAACCUCAUCAUUUAGAGGAAGGUGAAGUCGUAACAAGGUUUCCGUAGGUGAACCUGCGGAAGGAUCA